rnacentral:rRNA from 1 species
CGUGUAGGCGGCGGCGCAAGUGUCGAGUGAAAUCCCAUCGCUCAACGAUGGAACGGCUCGGCAAACUGCGUCGCUUGAGGUCGGUAGAGGUGCUCGGAACUCUAGGUGGAGCGGUGAAAUGCGUAGAUAUCUAGAGGAACGCCUGAGGCGAAAGCGGGGCACUGGGCCGAUACUGACGCUGAGACGCGAAGGCGUGGGAGCAAACA